rnacentral:rRNA from 1 species
AUACGGAGGAUCCGAGCGUUAUCCGGAUUUAUUGGGUUUAAAGGGUGCGCAGGCGGGAGAUUAAGUCGGCGGUGAAAUUUUGCCGCUCAACUGUAAAAGGGCCUUCGAAACUGGUUUCCUUGAGUGUAGAUGAAGUAGGCGGAAUUUGUGGUGUAGCGGUGAAAUGCAUAGAGAUCACGAGGAACUCCGAUUGCGCAGGCAGCUUACUAAACUACUACUGACGCUCAGGCACGAAUGCGUGGGGAUCAAACAGGAUUAGAUACCCUGGUAGUCCACGCAGUAAACGAUGAUUACUAGCUGUUUGCGAUACAAUGUAAGCGGCUGAGCGAAAGCGUUAAGUAAUCCACCUGGGGAGUACGUUCGCAAGAAUGAAACUCAAAUGAAUUGACGGGG